CGAGUAAACCAGAGGACAGCGCCCGCUGUGCGGGUGAGGAAAGUCCGGGCUUCACAAGGGAACGGUAACUGCUAACGGCAGCCGGGGGCAACCCCAGGGAGAGUGCAACAGAAAGCAACCGCCGAACGGCCCGAAAAGGUGCGUGGCAAGGGUGGAAAGGUGAGGUAAGAGCUCACCGGCACACUGGCGACUGUGUGGCCAUGUAAACCCUACCGGAAGCAACACCGGGGGCAGCGGUUUUCCGCAAGCGUACCCUGCGCGCCCCCUCAUGUGGCAUGAACUGGCCGGCGACGUCCAGUCCAGAUAGAUUGUCCUUUAAUACAGAACCCGGCUUAUGGUUUGCUCACUAA
rnacentral:RNase_P_RNA from 1 species